GCCAGAGCCACCGUGCUUCACCGCUGUGAUGACGAUAAUGGUUGUCCAAGGAACAUGGAGCUCGCCCCGACGCCAAGGGCUCCCAUCGCCAUGGAGCGUUGAGCUUCUCACCCUACCUCACCUCCAUCCCGGGGACCCAUCCCCGCCGUUCCCGACCAGCAGGAACGAGAACGAGCUCAUCCAUGUCCAGCUUGACCUCGUGCUCACUUGCGCCGUCGCCAUCCCUCGCGGGAUCUGGCUGUACCCCGCGAGGAUCCGGCGAGUCUGAGGCCUCCGCUAACCUCUGGAACCUCGGCUCCACCGGCUGCAACUAACAUCGGCCACCGCUUUUGGUUGCUCCCAACAUUCGUUUUCUUCGUCUCGAUAGAGUUCCGCAAGCGUGUCG